GUGGACACAGGACCAGGUGAACACGGUGGUGAAGAUGACCACUGCUGAACACGACACACUCAAGGGGCCUGAGCCCAUCUCUCUCAACCACCUUCAGGGCGCCUUCCUCAUCUUGGGCAUGGGCUACCUCUCAGCUAUUCUGGUCUUCCUGGCUCACGUCAUCCUCAGGUCCUGGUGCAAUACAGGAGACUGAUCGUCCCUAACCAGAGGUCUUCGACACCACCAUUCUCACUCGCUAACCUUACCUAACCUAACCAAAGGUGUUCCACACCACCAGUCUCACUCGCUAACCUUACCUAACCUAACCUAACUUCACUUAAACAAGGUCUAUAUAAUCUGAAAGAUUCUUAAAAUAAAACACAAAAAUACUGGCCUAAAAUAACAUCAAAUUUUAACUAAGACUAGCACCAGUUUGGAAAUAAAAAUUAAGACACAGAAUUAUUAAAAAUAUACUUUAUUUUAAUUAUGUUCCUUAACUGGUUCUACGUGAAUGUAUUUAUUUAAGGUAGAGACUCAGUCAAAAUGUAUUGUUAUUUUCAUGUACAGUCCCCUUCACUCGUGCGUUUACAGGGACUCGUCAUAUAAACAUUCCACAAAUCAUUAUCUUUGAGAUAUUUGUUUCAAUAUUGCCUUAAAUUGAUCCAUAGUUUGUUUACUAUUGCUUUUUUUCCUGCUGACGAAUGUAAACAAACAGCGUUGCCACACUGCACAAAACCUGAUGAGCCCCUGUAAACGCACGAGUGAAGGGGACUGUACGUUCGUAUAUCUUCAUUUACGAGGAUUAUUUAUCGCAAAAACCUUUCAGAAUCUUGGCCCAAAAUUAUAGAGCAAAAUUGUGAUAGAUUCAGAACUUUAUAAUCAGUUCCAUGUUCUUCUUAGGAAGAACUAUUGUAUAUUCACAACCCUGUUCAUAGUGAUUACUGUAUUAUUGUACACUCACAAUACUUAUGAUUGCAAAAUUAAUUGUUUUACACUUAUUUGAUGUCUGUGU